CACGUAGGGUGCGAGCGUUGUCCGGAAUUAUUGGGCGUAAAGAGCUCGUAGGCGGUGUGUCGCGUCGGCCGUGAAAACCUGCAGCUUAACUGUGGGCGUGCGGUCGAUACGGGCAUCACUGGAGUUCGGCAGGGGAGACUGGAAUUCCUGGUGUAGCGGUGAAAUGCGCAGAUAUCAGGAGGAACUCCGGUGGCGAAGGCGGGUCUCUGGGCCGAUACUGACGCUGAGGAGCGAAAGCGUGGGGAGCGAACAGG
rnacentral:rRNA from 1 species